rnacentral:rRNA from 1 species
AGGACGAACGCUGGCGGCGUGCUUAACACAUGCAAGUCGAACGAUGAAGCCUUUCGGGGUGGAUUAGUGGCGAACGGGUGAGUAACACGUGGGCAAUCUGCCCUGCACUCUGGGACAAGCCCUGGAAACGGGGUCUAAUACCGGAUAUUACCUGCCGAGGCAUCUUGGUGGGUGUAAAGCUCCGGCGGUGCAGGGAUGAGCCCGCGGCCUAUCAGCUUGUUGGUGGGGUGAUGGCCUACCAAGGCGACGACGGGUA